rnacentral:rRNA from 1 species
GACGAACGCUGGCGGCGUGCCUAAUACAUGCAAGUUGAGCGCUGAAGGUUGGUACUUGUACCAACUGGAUGAGCAGCGAACGGGUGAGUAACGCGUGGGGAAUCUGCCUUUGAGCGGGGGACAACAUUUGGAAACGAAUGCUAAUACCGCAUAAAAACUUUAAACACAAGUUUUAAGUUUGAAAGAUGCAAUUGCAUCACUCAAAGAUGAUCCCGCGUUGUAUUAGCUAGUUGGUGAGGUAAAGGCUCACCAAGGCGAUGAUACAUAGCCGACCUGAGAGGGUGAUCGGCCACAUUGGGACUGAGACACGGCCCAAACUCCUACGGGAGGCAGCAGUAGGGAAUCUUCGGCAAUGGACGAAAGUCUGACCGAGCAACGCCGCGUGAGUGAAGAAGGUUUUCGGAUCGUAAAACUCUGUUGGUAGAGAAGAACGUUGGUGAGAGCGGAAAGCUCAUCAAGUGACGGUAACGACCCAGAAAGGGACGGCUAACUACGU